AAGUAGGAAGCGACUAAUUGCAUUCAGUUUCGACCUGACUCUCGAUAAAAAAUUUAUCCCUACUUU
rnacentral:tRNA from 1 species